rnacentral:lncRNA from 1 species
CUUUCAGGAACAGAAUUCCAGGUUUGUCAAGAGACUCAAUGGGAAAAUUCUGCUUUAUUUUACAAAAUUCUACCCGAUUUAAGUGAUUUGGGGAUCAUAUGUCCCAAUUGUAAUUACAUUUGCCAGAAUUCAGAACUUUGAAAUAUGUUGUACUUUCUGAAUAUUUGCCAUUUGCCAACUCCAGUUGGAGCUUCUUGGGUCUCCGUCCUGCUCUGUGCUCAGCACUGCCUGGGCUCCUUGUCUGCCAGUGUCCAAAGCACACACAAGAGAAAUUCACGUCUGUCCUUUCUAGGUGGUUUGCAACUGCUCCCUCCCUUUCCCUCUGAAGGCCUAAGGAAUGUCAUGGUGAAUAUGUGGUGUCCCCAGAAGGCUCAUUUGUAAGUCAAUGAAAGACUGUUCAGAGGUGAAAUGAUUAGAUUAUGAGAGUUGUAACCUAAUCACGGAUAGGGAUUAACUGGGUGGUAACCAGUAGUAGGCAAGUAGGGUGUGGUUGGAGGAGCUAGGUCACUGGGAGUGUGCCUUUGGGGUUUACAUUUUGUCUCUGGUGAGCAGAGCUCUCUCUACUUCCUAUAUCACCGUAUCUUGAAUUUCUUUUCUCCUCCCCAUGCUUCUGCCAUAAUGUUCUGCUUCACUUUGGGUCCAGAGCUAUGGAGUUGGCCAUCUACGGACUGAAACUUCUGAGACCAUGUACCAAAUAAACUUUUCCUCCUCUAAUUGCUCUUGUCAGACCUUUUGGUCACAGCCACAAAAAAGCUGACUUAAACAGCAUGCUGAGGGGGUUCCAGGUGUUGCUAGUUCAGCCAUCUCUGGUUGUAUGAAUAUCCCUUAGCCCUGUCCACAUCUUUGUAGACAAUCUCUUCAUUUAGCUCUCAACUGUUCCCUUGGAGCACUGAGAUUAUUGUAGACCCAACUGAGGCAUACAUAGGAAUGUUCACAGAAAGCAUGUUACAUAUGUGAUACAUAUGAUUGUUUGCAUUUGCACACUGAAUUUAUGAAACAAUGAAAUAGCCUAUAAUUAGGAAAUUGCUUUUUAAAUUCACAUUAAAAAUGUAAAGCUUUAAAAAAAUGAUUCCAUGACUAAUUUCAAAUGAUGAUCUUUUUUUUUUUUCUUUCU